rnacentral:rRNA from 1 species
UACGUAGGGUGCAAGCGUUAAUCGGAAUUACUGGGCGUAAAGCGUGCGCAGGCGGUUUUGUAAGACGGAUGUGAAAUCCCCGGGCUCAACCUGGGAACUGCAUUCGUGACUGCAAGGCUAGAGUGUGUCAGAGGGAGGUGGAAUUCCGCGUGUAGCAGUGAAAUGCGUAGAUAUCGGAAGGAACACCAGUGGCGAAAGCGGCUUCCUGGUCCAGCACCGACGUUCAGGCACGAAAGCGUGGGGAGCAAACAGG